CCAGGUCAUACAAGCUGAACACGGUUGACCUGCACACCUAACAGUGGAAAUAAGGAAACAAGUGAUCACACAUCCACCCACUUUCUGCCCGGAACAACAGUUAGCCUUCUGUGCAAGGUCAUGAGGUGAAACCUGGAUGUUUCGUAUCCAUGACUGCACACAGCUACUGUGAGAGUCUCGACUCUCUGGUGGUUCAGGGUCCCAUUUUCCCACAAUACUGCUGUAUACGAGGGCAGGACAAACAAAUGGUUACUGGUGAGAUUCACUUCUGCCUUUAUAAGGCCAAGUGAACACUGGCGGAAGCUGACUUGGGUAAACCGCCUCUCUCCCGUACAAAAGGAAGAAGGGUGUGAACUUGGUGCUGGAGUGCCGUUUGGUGCGCUGGGCAAACAGAGCUCCAUCAAGUUUUAGAUGGAAUUGGGAACGCUUCAACCCACUUGGUGAAAUAAUCUGUUGCGGUAAAAAUGAACCUGUUGCCACUGGAUGUUUCUUGGAAUGGGCCCAUAAGAUCUACACCAACCAGCUCGAAUGGGCGAGAAACCUAGAAUUUAAGGAACUAUUACAAAUCGAACUUAUCAGAAGAAAAUAUACUAAUGGCUAUGCAUCGUGGACUCGCAUUUUUCCUUAAAAUGCAGUUUCAAAAUUGAUAUAGAACAAUGUAUUUGUCAGCGUCCGAUAUAUAGCACAUUAUAUAUUAACUGUUUGUAUUUUGUACAUUCAUGUUACUUAUUUUGUAAUAUGUAUAUUAUACAAUUGCUGUACAUAGAAUUUAUAACAUCCUUUUUCUCAUUGAAUGUAUAUGGUCCUGGUGUUGUUGUCUCCGUCUUCGUCCGCGUCGUGCUAAAAACUUAACAAUUUGUCAAGGUUUUGAACAUUAGCUCUAAAAUCAAAGUGCUUCAACUGACAACUUCAUAUGUAGCUGCACCUUGAUGAGUUCUAAAUGCCACACCCAAUUUUGGGUCACUAGGUCAAAGGUCAAGGUCACUGUGACUUGAAAAAAAAUUCUGUCAAGCUUUCAUGUAUUUAAAACUGCACCCGCAGCUGAGCGUGCCCGUUAUGCUAUGCUCUUGUUCCUUUAUUGUUAGGUUUUUAUCUGUUUUUACUGUACAGAGAAUAUUUUACGUAUUGUAAUACCUUUAUUUGCUGGAGUUCGGGUUUCUUGGCUGGUUUUAAGGGGUCAGACUUCUGACAAGCCUCACAGGUACUCACCUAAAAUAACAGAUUGUAUUGUUUAUUUAUAAUUUAUUGUCUUUGUGUGUCUAUAUAUGUAUACAGUGGUCUUUAGUAAAAGAUAAAUAUAUAAUCACAAGUGAAAAACCAAAAUAUGUAAACCAAAAUUUAAAAAGCAUGUGGAAAUUAUCAGAUGCAUGUCAUAAUAAGGCUUUAUAGAGGUAUAA